AGUGAACGCUGGCGGUAGGCCUAACACAUGCAAGUCGAACGGCAGCACAGUAAGAGCUUGCUCUUACGGGUGGCGAGUGGCGGACGGGUGAGGAAUACAUCGGAAUCUACUUUUUCGUGGGGGAUAACGUAGGGAAACUUACGCUAAUACCGCAUACGACCUACGGGUGAAAGCAUGGGAUCUUCGGACCUUGCGCGAUUGAAUGAGCCGAUGUCGGAUUAGCUAGUUGGCGGGGUAAAGGCCCACCAAGGCGACGAUCCGUAGCUGGUCUGAGAGGAUGAUCAGCCACACUAGAACUGAGACACGGUCCAGACUCCUACGGGAGGCAGCAGUGGGGAAUAUUGGACAAUGGGCGCAAGCCUGAUCCAGCCAUACCGCGUGGGUGAAGAAGGCCUUCGGGUUGUAAAGCCCUUUUGUUGGGAAAGAAAAGCAGCAGGUUAAUACCCCGCUGUUCUGACGGUACCCAAAGAAUAAGCACCGGCUAACUUCGUG
rnacentral:rRNA from 1 species